AGCGAACGCUGGCGGCAGGCUUAACACAUGCAAGUCGAGCGGGCAUCCUUGUGGUGUCAGCGGCAGACGGGUGAGUAACGAGUGGGAACGUGCCCUUCGGUUAGGAAUAACUCAGGGAAACUUGAGCUAAUACCGGAUACGUGCGAGAGCAGAAAGGCUUAUCUGCCGAGGGAUCGGCCCGCGUCUGAUUAGCUAGUUGGGCGGGUUACGGCGCACAAAGGCGAAGUUCAGUAGCUGGUGUGAGAGGAGGGACAGCCACACUGGGACUGAGCCAGGCCCCAGUGUCCAAUGUGGGGCAGCGGGGGGGAGUCUGGGGCAGCGGCGCCAAGCCUGAUACGGCCAUGCUCGGGUUGUAAUCCCGGUCUGAGGGUGAAAAAGCCCUUUUCCCUGUGAGUGUAUUGACGGUACCGGGGGAAGAAGCCCCGGCUAACUACGUG
rnacentral:rRNA from 1 species